AUCUUCGGCAAUGGGCGAAAGCCUGACCGAGCGACGCCGCGUGUGCGAUGAAGGCCUUUUGGUUGUAAAGCACUGUCGAAGGGGAGCAAGCCGCAAGGUUGAGAGUACCCUUGGAGGAAGCACGGGCUAAGUUCGUGCCAGCAGCCGCGGUAAGACGAACCGUGCGAACGUUAUUCGGAAUCACUGGGCUUAAAGGGUGCGUAGGCGGGUGGACAAGUCGAGGGUGAAAGCCUCUAGCUUAACUAGAGAAGUGCCCUCGAUACUGUUUGUCUUGAGAGAGAUAGGGGCACACGGAACUUCCGGUGGAGCGGUGAAAUGCGUAGAUAUCGGAAGGAACGCCGGUGGCGAAAGCGGUGUGCUGGAUCUUUUCUGACGCUGAGGCACGAAAGCUAGGGUAGCGAACGGGAUUAGAUACCCCGGUAGUCCUAGCCCCAAACGAUGAGUACUAGAUUGUGGACUGACAUGGGUUCACAGUCGAAGCAAAAGUAUUAAGUACUCCGCCUGGGGAGUAUGGUCGCAAGGCUGAAACUCAAAGGAA
rnacentral:rRNA from 1 species